rnacentral:rRNA from 1 species
UGGGGAAUAUUGCACAAUGGGCGCAAGCCUGAUGCAGCAACGCCGCGUGCGGGAUGACGGCCUUCGGGUUGUAAACCGCUUUAGUAGGGAAGAAGCCUUCGGGUGACGGUACCUGCAGAAAAAGGACCGGCUAACUACGUGCCAGCAGCCGCGGUAAUACGUAGGGUCCGAGCGUUGUCCGGAAUUAUUGGGCGUAAAGAGCUCGUAGGCGGUUUGUCGCGUCUGCUGUGAAAUCCCGAGGCUCAACCUCGGGCCUGCAGUGGGUACGGGCAGACUUGAGUGGUGUAGGGGAGACUGGAAUUCCUGGUGUAGCGGUGGAAUGCGCAGAUAUCAGGAGGAACACCGAUGGCGAAGGCAGGGUCUCUGGGCACUUACUGACGCUGAGGAGCGAAAGCGUGGGGAGCGAACAGGAUUAGAUACCCUGGUAGUCCACGCCGUAAACGUUGGGCGCUAGAUGUGGGGACCUUUCCACGGUUUCCGUGUCGUAGCUAACGCAUUAAGCGCCCCG